rnacentral:lncRNA from 10 species
GAAAAUUCUGUAACCAGUGCUCUUGAGCUACUUGCUUGAGCCUGCUCCCACUCUGUGGAGUAUACUUUCAUUUCAAUAAAUCUGGCUUUUAUUGCUUCAUUCUUUCAUUGCUUUGUUUGUGCAUUUUGUUCAAAACGUCAAGAACUUGGACAAUCUGUAGUCAAGGACCUCCACUGAUAACAGUUCCACAGAUACACGCAAAGACAAAGAACACAGAAAGCACAUCACCCACAAAAUGCAGAGUACUCUGGAAGAUGGAGUCUUGCUUUGUCGCCCAGGCUGGAGUGCAGCGGCACAAUCUCGACUUACUGCAACCUCCACCUCACGGGUUCAAGCGAUUCUGCUGCCUCAGCCACCCCAGGAGCUGGGAUUACGGGUGUCUGCCAUCACCCCUGGAUUCAUAUGUGAAGCCCUAACCCCCAUCGUGAUGGUAUUAGGAGAUGCAGCUCUUGAGAUGUAAUGAAGGUGAGCACACAGCAAGAAGGUAGCUGUCUGCAAGCUGGGAAGAGAGACCUAACCAAAACUUAACCACGCUGGCACCCUGAUCUCAGAAACUCAGUCUCCAGAACUGUGAGAAAAUAAAUGUCUGUUGUUUAAGCCACGCAGUCUGUGGUAUUUUGUUAUAGAAGACUGACUGAGCAGACUAAUACAAGGAUUUUGUAUUCUGACUGUGUCAUGUGUGACUUUGAGCAAUUAUUCAACUUCGCUGAG